rnacentral:rRNA from 1 species
UACCAGCACCCCGAGUGGUCGGGACGAUUAUUGGGCCUAAAGCAUCCGUAGCCGGUCCUGCAAGUCUUCCGUUAAAUCCACCUGCUCAACAGAUGGGCUGCGGAAGAUACUAUAGGGCUAGGAGGCGGGAGAGGCAAGCGGUACUCAGUGGGUAGGGGUAAAAUCCUCUGAUCCAUUGAAGACCACCAGUGGCGAAGGCGGCUUGCCAGAACGCGCUCGACGGUGAGGGAUGAAAGCUGGGGGAGCAAACCGG